rfam:Gossypium hirsutum cultivar TM-1 chromosome 11, whole genome shotgun sequence
AAUCCUUGCUGCAGACAGUUUUGAAUCAACAUUUUGAAGCGUUCCCAUGCCUCAUAGAAACUUUCUCCCUCCAUCUAUGUAAAGACAGCUAUCUCUCUUCUUCGUU